GCCAUGUUGAAAACCUCUACCUGAGAGAGUUUCUGUUUUGCGUUGUUUUUACCUUAAUCAGAGGAAAAAUUAUAGUUGGAGACCAAGAGGCUAGAGCUAUGAUCAUCACAAAACGUAAACUCCAAGGUUUUUAACGAUCAAAUGUGAACACUUGUGUCUGAGCUAAGCAGCAGUUCUAACCACUGUAACCAUGUGAUAAGAAUCCGGCCAGGUGGGACACUGUGGAACGUGGUAGCAGAUCAACUGGCAGCAAGGCUUCAAGGAAAUCUUAAUGAUAUUGGACAUUUCGUUUUUCCUGGUGUACAAGGUCCAAGAAUUUCAUCCUGCAAUUCUCUAUCAUCAGUUCUUGCACUGGAAGCAACUUCAGAGGUUAUAUAAACUCUUGAAUAACUGUAGGAAACCACCAAUGAACAGUAGAACUACCAUGGUCCCCACGCCACCAUUUCCACCAAUAACAGAAAUUGCUCCUCCUUUGACUUCUAACCCACCAGUCCCUCCUACCCCUGACCGGCGGGGAGAUUCACUAUUCACGAAGUUCUGAAGGAACUCAUUAGCCCAAUGUAGCUUCUCCCUCCAGGAAUUCUUUAGUACCACAGCUGAAGAUCAAAGACAUUAUCUGGCUGCUCCCUGUACCACAGUGUGCCCUUUUCAAUAUCCUGGAUAAAAUGACAAUGAUUCAUUAAAAAUGUUUAUAUCACUAUAUUAUGCCCAAGUGGAAUAUCAUUUCCCAUCAUUACCAGCAUUGUAAAAGAAGGAUGAGGAAAAUGAUCAAAGGAAUCUAGGAAAUAGGAUCUUUUUUCUCUGGCAAGUCAUAUGUUUAGCUAAGAAUCAGAGGUUCUAAAACAAAGGAAGAAAGGAAAAGCAAUUUGGGGAGGAGCACACAGCCUGCAGUUUCUGCCAAACUUGGGGAAGUGGUAGGUGACAGAAGGGUUCUGUCCCCAGCCUACAUCCAAGCCCUUGAAGAGACUCCUGGGAUGUUUCCAGCAGUAGGAGAGGGUGUUCUGGCCAUUUUAAUUCAGAAAGAAAUUGAUGAAGCCAUGAGGUAAUGCACUCAAAGUUUUCUUUUGCCUUAUUUGGGAGGCAACGUUCUAAGUUUCUCCCUAAUCUGUCUAGACAGAUGUACAAAGCAAAAAGAACAAGAAAGAUUUUACAGAUGUUAUCCAUUCUCCAUCUCUACAAAUAUGUAGUCCAGCUUUCUCUUUCGGGAAACAGAACAGUAACCUCUGCACCUCAGUUAAGAACAAUGAUCACUGUCUGUUAGUCCCUUCUGUUCCUCAGUGUGGAAAAGUCACUACAUGGCAUUCACAGGGGUCUUUGGUCUCAUUUGAGAAGUUUCCUACAGAGCCCUUCUUACAACUGGCUGCAACAUGGUCACACGUAGAAAUCAAAAGGAAUAGAGUUUGUGUAGGAGAGAACAUGCAUCAUUUCAUAGAAACCAAAGGCUCAGGCUUGGAAAGGACAUUAAAGUCUUCAGAAUCAACAUCCCCUGGGAGCUGGUUAGAAGAGCACCAGAGAUCAAGCUCCACUCCAGGUGAACUGAAGCGGUAUCUGCAUUUAAACAAGAUGCCUCGUGCUCCUCCACAACGUCACCAACUUGGAGAUAUCUGCCAGAAUACCUAGCAGCAGAGAGCUCACUGCAGGCAGGACGGCUCACUCCAGAAUCCUUCGCUGGGUAGCUUUGGUCUUGGAAAAGUGAUUCUCUGCAUGGAGUUAAAAUUUGGUCCUAGCUCAACUCUGGGGUUGCAUUGAAUAAAUCUAGUCUGUCUUCUCAAUGACAACCCUUCAAAUAAAUAAAGAUAGCUCUCACAGUCCUGACUUUUUCCAAGCAAAAAUUCCCCAGUCUUCCAACCACUCUCUUUAUGACAUGGUUAGAUUUGUCUCAAUAGCCAAAAAUCUUCUCCAAAUACUCUCUAGCUUUUACAUUGUCCCCGCCCCCAGUGCUGGUUUUCAGAACUGCACAUAAUAACCCAGAUGUGAUCUGGCAAAUGCAAAAAUGGGGUGAUUGCCUCCUACACCAGAUCCUAUUGUCUAUUAAUAUAUCUAUUAAUAGGAUCUAGAACUGUAACUGUCUUUCUGGAUAACCACUAAGUCCUUUUCAUGUGUUUCUGAAAACACGUUUGAUGUCUUCUGUACUUUACCUUGGACUGACCUCCCAUUUACCUCUUUAUCACUUAUCUGAUUUGAAUCAACUCAGCAUUCUCACACACACAUAUUUUUAUCUAGAUUCCAUUAUUCAAUAUGUUUGAGUUCAGUAGUCCAACAUAUGGUCUUAACUUUCUCUGUUCAUUCAUCUACCCAUGCAACAAACAAUUUUUAAGCAUCUCCUCAGUUCUGAACUCAGGAGGAAGAGAAGAGAACAAGACAGCCUGGGUCUCCGUCCUCGUGGGAUUCUCAUGCUUUGAAGCAGUAUUUGCUACACCUGGGAGAGUACUGUAACAAUACUAAAAUAUAUUUGAAUGUAUCCUACAUACCUUAAAGGGCUAUGAAUUACAGUUUCAAGUCCAAAGCACUGAGAACAAAUAGAGCACUUGGUAAAACAAGUAUUUACGUGGCUGAUAAAGGAUACAGGUAGAUUUGUCUUGACAGCUGGGGUCUGCAGGGAAAUGCCUACCCAGAACUUCCCAGCCCUGGUUCUGCUUUAGAAUCAUCUGGAAAUGUUUUUAAAACACACCAAAGGCUCAUCCCCGACCAACUGAAUGGAAAUUUCUGGUUGUGGAAGGAACCAGAGCAUCAGCAUGUUAAAAAUGCCUGGGGUGGUUCUAACGUGCAGUCAGGUCUGGGAACGGCCGCUCUACAGGGAUUCUUGGAAGUACAGCUCUGUGCCUCUUCAGACAGGCAGGGCUGGCUCAGCCAGCAGACCCUGAUGAGCACAGCUGGUGAAGUGGUUCUCCAGCUGAGGCAGGUGGGGUAGGGAGUCAGGGGAACAGCCACUGUGGGACUUCCUGACUGUUAGAUCCUGCUGCAGCUUGCCGGUGUGUUAGAAUGGGCUGGAAAGUCUGCUAGAGCUAGGCUGCAUACAGGUUUCCCCAGCUUUCUCUGCUGGCAAUCAAAAUACCUCUCAGACACAUUUGUGAGAGAUACAAGUUUGCUUUCUAGAAAGCUCUGUUGGAUGAACCUCCCUUGCAGGAUGUCUGUGUACACUUUCUGAUACAUCUCUAUGUGCCCGGCAAACAUAACGUUGAAGCUUUCUGUUCUCCUGAGUUUGCUGGUAGCAGCGAGGGAAAUGAGAAGUCAGUGUUGUUUACCUCCUGAAGCAGAAGAAUAUUUACAGUUAACACCAUCCAGAUUUUAAAUCUCUGAACAACAAAUCAAUGUCCGAGACAAAGGUCAACACAAAAGAACACUUAAUACAGCUUAGGUUCUUUAGUCAGAAUUUGAUGUCUGCCUGAUGUUUUUCUCUGACAACAGUUGUAAGUUUUUAAACAGUUGAUUGAAAAAAAUAAAAUGGACACACACAACA
ensembl:lncRNA